rnacentral:rRNA from 1 species
UACAGAGGUCUCAAGCGUUGUUCGGAUUCAUUGGGCGUAAAGGGUGCGUAGGCGGCGCGGUAAGUCGGGUGUGAAAUCUCGGAGCUUAACUCCGAAACUGCAUUCGAUACUGCCGUGCUUGAGGACUGGAGAGGAGACUGGAAUUUACGGUGUAGCGGUGAAAUGCGUAGAUAUCGUAAGGAAGACCAGUGGCGAAGGCGGGGUCUCUGGACAGCUUCCUGACGCUGAGGCACGAAGGCCAGGGGGAGCAAACGGGG